UACGAAGGGGGCUAGCGUUGCUCGGAAUCACUGGGCGUAAAGCGCACGUAGGCGGAUUCCUAAGUCGGGGGUGAAAUCCUGGAGCUCAACUCCAGAACUGCCUUCGAUACUGGGAAUCUUGAGUCCGGGAGAGGUGAGUGGAACUGCGAGUGUAGAGGUGAAAUUCGUAGAUAUUCGCAAGAACACCAGUGGCGAAGGCGGCUCACUGGACCGGUACUGACGCUGAGGUGCGAAAGCGUGGGGAGCAAACAGG
rnacentral:rRNA from 1 species